ACGAACGCUGGCGGCAUGCCUAACCUAUGCAAGUCGAACGAGACCUUCGGGUCUAGUGGCGCACGGGUGCGUAACGCGUGGGAACCUGCCCUUAGGUUCGGAAUAACUCCCCGAAAGGGGUGCUAAUACCGGAUAAUGUCUUCGGACCAAAGAUUUAUCGCCUUUGGAUGGGCCCGCGUUGGAUUAGCUAGUUGGUAGGGUAAAAGCCUACCAAGGCGACGAUCCAUAGCUGGUCUGAGAGGAUGAUCAGCCACACUGGGACUGAGACACGGCCCAGACUCCUACGGGAGGCAGCAGUGGGGAAUAUUGGACAAUGGGCGAAAGCCUGAUCCAGCAAUGCCGCGUGAGUGAUGAAGGCCUUAGGGUUGUAAAGCUCUUUUACCCGGGAUGAUAAUGACAGUACCGGGAGAAUAAGCUCCGGCUAACUCCGUG
rnacentral:rRNA from 1 species